AUGCUUAUAAUCUUUUCUACUUCUUUUCAUGAUUUGCCGCGUGUGCUAUUUUUGUCUCAGCACUGCAUGUGCCGUUUUGUUUUUUCUACAGUUGCGUGUGCGCGUCAUUACCAAAAUGCCGGAACAAAACUUGCAGGAAAUACGCAAACUUCCAAAGCACGCUUUCUUAAUCAGCAAGUACCUUCCAUAAACGGCCACGCAGUGGCGCUGAAGGCCCGGACGGCCCAUACUGGAAAAAGACCCAUUGGUCCUCCCUUCCCUCCGCUCACACGGUCACAUUCACAGCCACACCGCAAACGGCAAACCCAGAACCGCCGCGCAGAGCGAGGCCGCGGCGGCGGCGACGGCCCACGCGACGACGCCGUGGCGCGCGGCCGCGUUGGGCGACGGCGCCGCGGCGUGCGGCGGCUGCGCGGGACUUUCCUCGACGAGCACGGUGACCUUCAUGCCGCUCCAGCAGUAGCCGCGGCUGCAGAUGAAGUAGUAGCGGCCCGUGUGGUUGAGCUGGAACACGAAGCCGCGGCCGCGGUCGUAUUUGACGAGGGGCUUGCUCGCGUCGCACUUGUCGUACGCCGCCGCGUCCGCCACCUGCACCACGUCGUACAUGUCCCUGGCGUAGUUGAACUCUGCAGCACGCGCGCGUAUGUGCACGGGCGGAUCAGUUGGCCGGGCCGGGAAAUGGUAGAUCGAUCGAGAAGACGGUGGAAACUAGGGAGGAGGAGUGGGGUGCUUACGGAGCCAGUCGCCGACGUGGAAGUGGUACUGGUCGGGCCAGGUGGUGUAGUUGACGUUGGCGGCCCAGUUCUUCUUGCCGCCGACGACGAACUUCUCCGCGGCGGAGGGGGCCGGCGCCGCCGCGAGGAGGAGGAACGCCACGGGGAGGAAGAGGGGGAGAUUGGGCGCGGCCAUUUUUUGGAGAUCGGUGGAGGCUGA
rnacentral:rRNA from 1 species